rnacentral:rRNA from 1 species
GAUGAACGCUGGCGGCGUGCUUAACACAUGCAAGUCGAACGGUGAAGCAGGAGCUUGCUCUUGUGGAUCAGUGGCGAACGGGUGAGUAACACGUGAGCAACCUGCCCCAGAGUCUGGGAUAAGCGCUGGAAACGGCGUCUAAUACUGGAUAUGUGAUGUGACCGCAUGGUCUGCAUCUGGAAAGAAUUUCGGUUGGGGAUGGGCUCGCGGCCUAUCAGCUUGUUUGUGAGGUAAUUGCUCACCAAGGCGUCGACGGGUAGCCGGCCUGAGAGGGUGACCGGCCACACUGGGACUGAGACACGGCCCAGACUCCUACGGGAGGCAGCAGUGGGGAAUAUUGCACAAUGGGCGGAAGCCUGAUGCAGCAACGCCGCGUGAGGGGUGACGGCCUUCGGGUUGUAAACCUCUUUUAACAGGGAAGAAGCGAAAGUGACGGUACCUGCAGAAAAAGCACCGGCUAACUACGUGCCAGCCGCCGCAGUAA